rnacentral:lncRNA from 1 species
AAGACCUCCAGCUAUUUAUGGGUUGAUUACAAGCUCAGUAUGAUUCAAUUGAUGAUUAGAUAGUAGACAUCACCUGUUACGAUUGGAGCCCUGUGGCCAAGAGGACGCCUGUGAACUAUUUCACCUGAUUAGGCCACGCUGGGAUUUUUUGCUUGGGUGAGAGGUCGUGCUUCCCCAGGACACGGGCAGCAGCCUGGAGAGAGGAGUCUCAGAGGGUAACCCUGCUCUUCUCAAAUAUGGAAAGCUCCUAUGUGGAAGGGCAGUGAGUGGGAUUUAUCUUUUUCUGGGGAUUCCAGAUGGCAGAAAAUGGCAGAUUUUCCCAAUUCCACAUUUUGGAAGUAUCAAGAGCUGUUUCAUGAGAUAAGCUG